UCCUCGAUGGUCUAGUGGUGAUGAUUUCCGCUUGUCAUUUGAAAUGCGUCAAGCGCGGGAGACCAGGGUUCGAUUCCCUGUCGGGGAG
rnacentral:tRNA from 1 species